rnacentral:rRNA from 1 species
UACUCGAGUGGCGAACGGGUGAGUAACACGUGGGUGAUCUGCCCUGCACUUCGGGAUAAGCUUGGGAAACUGGGUCUAAUACCGGAUAGGAGCCAUCUUUAGUGUGGUGGUUUGAAAGUUUUUUCGGUGUAGGAUGAGCUCGCGGCCUAUCAGCUUGUUGGUGGGGUAAUGGCCUACCAAGGCGGCGACGGGUAGCCGGCCUGAGAGGGUGUACGGCCACAUUGGGACUGAGAUACGGCCCAG